AGAUUCCUCGAGUAACGGCGAGUGAAAGGGGAGAAGCUCAGCGUGUAGCCUCGGGGAUGCCACUCCAAGCGAGUGUGUUAAUCCUACGAUGGGAUGCCACGUAUGGGAGAAAGCUAGAAGAGUCCGCGACCCGGCAAUCCGAACUGUAAGAUGAAACAUUGCCCAGAGAGGGUGUUAGGCCCGUAGGACCGUUGUUUGUCGUGACUUUUCGCGGCUUUCUCUCGAGAGUCGGGUUGUUUGAGAAUACAGCCUUAAGAGGUGGGAAACUCCAUCUAAAGCUAAAUAUUACUGCGAGACCGAUAGCGAACAAGUACCGUGAGGGAAAGUUGAAAAGGACUCUGAAGAGAGGGUUCAAGAGAGCGUGAAACUGCCACGGGGAUAAAGCGGAUACAUUAGCGUAGUCGAAAAGGGAGAUACAACUCGUUAGUCGUCGACCUCUCGGUUUCGACGAGCGUAAGGAAUUACAUACCGGCGGGUUUUUAACUCGCAUUGGUUCUUGACUCCUAUCGCCGUCGAUCGAGUUACGCGUACGUUCACUAACGAGUCUACUUCACACCUUAGUAGGCCGUCGCGACGGUCGGAAAGUUGUCGAAGGCUUAUGGAAAGGUCGCGGGAACCUUUCGUCGCGUGGAAGGAACUCGUUUCUUUCUAUCGCCGACGAAGGGGGACGCUUUCUUGAAUUU
rnacentral:rRNA from 1 species